ACCCCACCAAGAAAAUAACCUGCAUCCAUUAUAUUCACUCACACACCCACAGAUACAUUCAUUCUCACCUUUCUCUCUCUAAAAUCCUAUCUUUGUUUUUUCUUUAAUUUAUUUUUUCUCCCUUUCUUUCUCUACUCGCGAGAAAGGUCAACAACAUAGUAGAAGAGGAAGAAGUAGAAGUAGAGAAAACAUAGAUGAGAAUCGAGACGAGACUCAUUUUUUCAUCUCUCUAAAUCUCAAUUCCCUCUUUUCUCCAUCUUCCAAACCCUAAAUCGAUGCAGAUUUCGACUUAAUUCGACUCACUAAUUACCAUCAUGUCUUUCCAUCCGAGGCCAUACAGCAGCUACGGCGAGGGAGACGAGCCGGAGGAUCAGGCGGCGGCACGGCGCGAGGGCAGCAGCUCCGGCGCGGCGGCGGUGCAGCGCGAGCACAUGUUCGACAAGGUGGUGACGCCGAGCGACGUGGGGAAGCUGAACCGCCUUGUGAUUCCGAAGCAGCACGCGGAGAAGUACUUCCCCCUCGACUCCUCCGCAAACGAGAAGGGUUUGCUCCUCAAUUUCGAGGACCGCAACGGGAAGCCGUGGCGGUUCCGCUACUCGUACUGGAACAGCAGCCAGAGCUACGUGAUGACUAAAGGAUGGUCCCGGUUCGUGAAGGAGAAGAAGCUCGACGCCGGCGACAUCGUCUCCUUCCAGCGCGGCGUCGGCGAGCUCGCGAAGGACCGCCUCUUCAUCGACUGGCGCCGCCGCCCCGACGCACCGGAUCUCCACGCCUCGUCCAGCAUCCCCCACCACUUCUCCUUCCGCGCCCUCCACCACCACCCCUGGAGCCCCUUAUUCAUCCCGCCGACGCAGCCCGCGCCGCCGCCGCCGCGGGAGUAUCUCCACACGACGACGCACCACCACUACCACCACCCGCCGACGGGGUACGGGCCCUACGCGUACGGAAGUGUGGUGAACGGAAGCCCGUGCCCCCCGGGGUCGAUAGUGUACCUGAGGGGAGGAGCGGCGUUUGGAACGGCAGCGGCAGCGGGGCCGGGGCAGAGGGAGCAGAUGGUGUUCGAGUCGGUGCCGGUGGUCCAGGGAAAAGCUGCAGCAAAGCGACUUAGGCUGUUCGGCGUGAACAUGGACUGUCCUAUCUCUGACUCGGAUGAAUGCGAUAUACUGUCCUCCUCCGCGGCCCACCACCAGCUGCUGGCGGCGCCGCCCUCCCUCCGCCCGCAGGAUCACGACAAAGGGAAGGGAUCCAUGUCUUUGGAUUUGGAUUUGGAUUUGGAUAUUUAGAUUGCAGAAUUAUCCCUUUUGUCUUAAUUGCUUAUAUCUCUUCCACACCCACAACUACUGCUGCCUUCGCAGCUUUUGGAGAUGAGUAAAACACGACGCAAGAAUGGAAUCGGGAUAGAGAUUGAGAGAAGAUUAAGGUAUGUAUGUAUGUAUGUAUGUAUGUAUGUAUGUAUGUAUGUAUGUAGGUGAUGGAAAAAUAAUUAUGUGGAGAUAUAUAGAAGAAUUAGCAGUUUGAUUUGAUAGUGAGGGGGAGAGGGGAAAUUCAAUACUACAUCUUAAUGAAAACUUGUAGCAAUAUAAUUGGUGAGUUUGGUCCCUACAUGAGAUGAAAAGAGUAUAUCUAUAUCGUCAUCUCCACACAUGAUGUUAAAUGGUCAAUUACUUAGAAACCGAUGUUUCCUCUUCGACUUGACAAUAUCAUUUUUCCUCUACCUUGUCAUGUCAAUUGUGGCUGUGGCCCUAUUUUUAUUGUUUCAAGAUUGUGCAUUUUCAUUUAGGACCUAAAUUUUUAUGUUAGUUGCGAAAUCAUGAAGCUAGCUGAUGGUAAAUUCCACCAUUUUUGGCAUUAAUUACAAGUAUUUGUAAUUGCUGAGUAAAUAUACAUGAAGAGACUUCCCAUGAAUAUGUGAUUAUAUUUUAUAUUUUUUUCAUCUCAAUUCUAUAUGAAGGCUGUCUAUUUUGGGAGUAUCAAAUAACAGAAUGGCGUUAAAUUGAUAAAUCUCGAGCUAUGAGCAUGUAGUGCAAUCAGUGGACCUUUUUUCUACUUCUGGUAUUAGCUGCUUGUAUAACAAGUGAAAAGCUUUCUGCAUCUGUAUCUCUAGCAUAAAGAGGGGCAUAAUACACACACACACACACAUAUAUAUUUAUACAUUUUGUGUGUGUACUUUGUGAAAAAUUGUGCAGGACCAUGCUUUAGUUGCUUGCCAUUGCUGAUAUAUACUCGGUACCAAUAAUCUUCUUUUUUUUAAUGCUGAUAUAAAUGGAUAUUGUAUAACAUAUACACUGUGGCCACUCCAGCCUAUGAUUAUAGCACAAUUUAGUCAAGAAUCAUUACCUCAUUUUACUUUUGUAACAGAUCUAUAAGUAUGUGUGUGUUUGGAAUGAAACCUAGCUAAACUCUUGUGAAUAAUUGUAUUUGUGGUAUAUGAGUUUUUAUUUGAA